UCAUAACGAUUUGAUUUUUACAAGCAGCGAUGUCUAAAAAUAUUUUAAAAAGGUCCAUUAAAUCUAGAUUGGUCAAAACUUUUUCGAAUUUCGAAUGAUGCUUAAAAAUUCAAAUAUUGGUAUCCGAAUUAUCGAUGGGAAUAGUUUAUGACAACAGCUGUCAAAGAAAAUCCAAUAGAAUGUACUCUAUACAAAAUUUUAAUUCUUUCUUUUGUCUUUUCGCCAAAUUAAUAUUUAUUAUUAAUUGGGAUACUUCAAGAACGUUUUGCUCUUUUUCAGUCGAAUGAAUUUUGUUUAUAAAACUCAGAACAACAGCUCUCGCGUAAAAGUAAUUUUAAUCAGACAAAAUAAAUUCCACGAAUUGCUGAAACACUCUUGAAGAGUCAUCCGACCAAGACAGCUUGACAGAAGAUAUCGUUUUGCCGUGAUAAUAUCGGGUCCAGCUCUUCCAUACAAAAAACUCUAGAGUGCGACGAUGAAAUGGUGCAGUUUUAUAACGGCAUAUCAAUAUUUUAUUUGUUGAGAAAAAGGUCAUGUCACGGUCAAAAUCACGUUUGAAAAUAAUGCAAAACAUAAUGAUUUUCGAACUAAAAAUUAAAUUUAUACAAUAGGUUGAUUAUGUUUAUUUUUUAUCAAAAAAUUUGCAACCCUGGGGACAACGGGCCUAUAAGUCACAGUAAAUAUAUUUACUAUAUAUAUUUACUACUUAUAUAUGUUCAUAUGCAUUAAUUUGUAUUUGAGAACAAAAGAUAUGUACAUAUAUAUGUAUUAUUUUGGCUUUAAUCAACGAAGGUAAUUGAAAGUACGCAGAUAACUAUAAUUACGUACUUAUA